GCUGCGGUGGUGAAAUUGGUAGACACGCAUGGUUGAGGGCCAUGUGGCGGUUACGCUGUGCUGGUUCAAUUCCAGUCCGCAGCA
rnacentral:tRNA from 1 species